AUGUUCAUCUCUACACAUGCAUUGGGUCAUCAGCUAGCUGUACCAACUCCUACAGUUAUAAUCCACAUUAAUGGAAAAAGAGCAAUGGCCUUACUAGAUUCUGGCAGUACUUCCUCCUUUAUUAACCAAGAUUUUGCUAUUAAGGCCAAUUGUCAGAUGUUACCUGUCAAACAAAGAACUAUAGCAGUGACUGGAGGAGGCAGAUUACUAUCUUCUACAGUAGUACCUAACUGCAAAUUUCAGCUAGCUAAACUGAAACUCCAACAUAAUUUCAGAGUGCUGACACUUCCUAGCCAUGAUGUUAUUCUGGGAUAUGAUUGGAUGACUAUAGUCAGCCCUGUAGCAUUCAACAUCCCCAAGCAGACAUUCAGUUUCACAAGAGAGGGGAAUCAAACUGUUACUACUACAGUCUUCAAUACUUCUGCACCAGUUAAGGAAGUACCAGCAGAAAAGAUGGAUAAGCUAUUGGAUAAAGGAGUGGAAAGUUUCCUCUUACAAGUGCACAACAUAUUGAUGGAAGCACCAGAAGGCACACAAACUCCUCCUCAAAUACAAAAGUUACUGCUAGAAUAUGUUGAUCUGUUUGAGGAACCUAAGUCUUUGCCACCUGAAAGGGCUCUGGACCAUACUAUUCCCUUAGUUCCUGGUGCAACUCCACCUCAUGUGAGACCUUAUAGAGUUCCUCAACAUCAAAAACAAGAAAUGGAGGAUCAGAUUAAGAAACUGCUAGCAGCUCACCUCAUCAGGCACAGUCAAAGUCCUUAUGCAGCUCCUGUUAUACUAGUAAGGAAGAAGGAUAGUUCAAUGAGGUUAUGCACUGAUUUUAGGAAACUUAAUUCUUUAACAAUUAAGAACAAGUUUCCUAUACCAGUGAUUGAAGAUCUCUUAGAUGAAUUGCAUGGUGCUCAAUAUUUUUCUAAGAUUGAUCUCAGAUCAGGCUAUCACCAUAUCAGAAUGCAUCCUGAUGAUAUACAAAAAACUGCAUUUAGGACAUUUUUGGGCCACUUUGAAUAUUUAGUUAUGCCUUUUGGGUUGUCAAAUGCACCUGGCACCUUUCAAGCCCUAAUGAACAGCAUUUUUGGGCCAUACUUGAGGAAGUUUGUAUUGGUGUUCUUUGAUGAUAUUUUAAUUUACAACAAAAAUCUCAAGGAACACCAGGAACACUUGAAGAUAGUGUUGCAAAUACUAAAAGAACAUCAGAUGUUUGCAAAGAUGUCCAAGUGUGUUUUUGCUGUCCAACAAGUAGAAUACUUGGGACAUGUAAUAUCUGUAGAAGGAGUAGCUACAGAUCCCAAGAAAAUAGCUGCUAUUGCUGAAUGGCCAACACCUGACUCUGUUACUAAACUGAGAAGUUUCUUGGGUUUAGCUGGGUAUUACAGAAGGUUCAUCAAAGGAUAUGGAGCAAUUUGCAGACCUUUGCAUGAUUUGCUAAAGAAAGGACAGUUUGCAUGGAAACAGGAACACAACCAAGCUUUUGUCCAGUUACAACAAGCCUUGAUCACAGCACCUGUCUUAGCACUGCCAAAUUUCUCCUUACCUUUUGUAUUGGAAACAGAUGCUUCAGGCAGAGGAAUAGGAGUUGUGCUCAUGCAACAGGGCAGGCCCAUAGCUUACUAUAGUUCAGCCCUGUGUCCCAGAAAUGCAGCCAUGUCUACAUAUGAGAAGGAAGCAUUAGCUAUAUUAGAAGCAUUAAAAAAAUGGAGGCACUACCUGCUAGGGAAUGAACUCACUAUCAAGACAGAUCAGCAGUCUCUCAAGUUCAUUACUGACCAGAAAAUCACUGAGGGAGUGCAGCAUAAACUGAUGAUGAAAUUACUGGAAUUUAAUUUCAAAAUCCAGUAUAAGAAAGGAACAACCAACAAGGUAGCUGAUGCAUUAUCCAGAAUCCUUCCAAGUUGUUUUGCUAUGUCAGCUAUCACACCUGUAUGGGCUGAGGAUCUGUUGCUAAGUUAUCAACAGGAUCCAGUCAGUAAGAAAUUACUAGAGCAACUGCUGCUGCAACAAAACACUGACAAUUCUGAUUAUACCAUACAUGCUGGGAUAAUCAGAUACAAAGGAAAAAUUCUGGUAGGAAAUACUCCUGCACUCAGAACUCAGUUAAUACAGGCUCUCCACAGCUCACCUAUAGGAGGACACUCAGGGAUGAGAGCUACAUACCAGAGGAUCAAGAAUAUUUUCUAUUGGCCUGGUCUGAAACAUGAAGUGGAAACAUUUAUAGCUGCAUGCCCUGUCUGCCAGAGAGCAAAACAUGAGAACUGCUUGCAGCCAGGUCUACUGGAUCCCCUCCCUGUAGCAGACAUGGCAUGGCAACAUGUGACCAUGGACUUCAUUGAAGGCCUGCCAAACUCUCAGGGCAAGGAAGUUAUUAUGGUGGUGGUGGAUAGAUUUACCAAAUAUGCCCAUUUUAUCCCACUGUCCCAUCCCUAUACUGUCUUGAGUGUAGCACAAGCAUUUGUUGAUCACAUCGUUAAGUUGCAUGGACCCCCUAAAUUGAUCAUAUCUGACAGAGACAGGAUUUUUACAAGCCAACUCUGGAAAGAUAUAUUUGCUGCUUUGCAUGUGGAAUUAAGAUAUAGUACAGCUUACCACCCUCAAACAGAUGGUCAAAUGGAACGAGUAAACCAAUGCCUGGAAACUUAUUUGAGGUGUAUGACUACUAACGAACCAAAAAAAUGGGUCUCAUGGAUGUCUUUGGCUGAAUUUUGGUACAAUUCCACAUACCACACUGCCUUGAAGAUGUCUCCAUUUCAGGCACUAUAUGGAUUUCCCCCUCCCCUCAUCUCUGAAUUAGCAAUUCCUGGUCCUGAAGAAAAGGAGGCACAAGAUUUCCUCAGUGCUAAACAGCACAUGUUGGAUUUGCUCAAGAGCAACUUGCAACAAGCACAAAACAGGAUGAAACACUAUGCUGAUAUGAAAAGAGUGGAAAGAGUUUUUCAAGUUGGGGAGCUAGUUUAUAUGAAAAUGGCCCGAUACAGAUUGGCAGCUUUUGGUUUUCGAGGAGCUCUGAAACUCCAGAACAGAUACUAUGGCCCUUUCUUAAUCACACAAAAAGUGGGACAGUCAGCUUACAAGCUCCAAUUCCCUGCAGACGUCAAGAUCCAUCCAGUGUUUCACGUGAGCCAGCUCAAGAAGCACAUUGGAAACAAAUCCAUUCCCAGCCCUCAUUUACCAAUGGUGAACGCAGAUGGAACGAUCAAAACGGGUCCAGAAGGAGUUCUGCAAGUCAGGCAAAUUCCAAAGCACAACAAACUGGUGGUCCAAUGGCUUAUUCAGUGGCAGAAUUUACCUGCAGACGAAGCCACCUGGGAGGACGCAGAUUUCAUCAAAUAUACAUUUCCGGAAUUCUUCAAAGCAACAACUCAAGCUUGGCACGAAGCGGGGCACACGCCGUGA
rnacentral:rRNA from 1 species